GGACCCGCACAAGCGGUGGAGCAUGUGGUUUAAUUCGAAGCAACGCGAAGAACCUUACCAGGUCUUGACAUCCCUUGACAACGCUAGAAAUAGCGCGUUCCCUUCGGGGACAAGGUGACAGGUGGUGCAUGGUUGUCGUCAGCUCGUGUCGUGAGAUGUUGGGUUAAGUCCCGCAACGAGCGCAACCCUUAUUAUUAGUUGCCAGCAUUCAGUUGGGCACUCUAGUGAGACUGCCGGUGAUAAACCGGAGGAAGGUGGGGAUGACGUCAAAUCAUCAUGCCCCUUAUGACCUGGGCUACACACGUGCUACAAUGGCAUAUACAACGAGUCGCUAACCCGCGAGGGUACGCUAAUCUCUUAAAGUAUGUCUCAGUUCGGAUUGUAGGCUGCAACUCGCCUACAUGAAGUCGGAAUCGCUAGUAAUCGCGGAUCAGAACGCCGCGGUGAAUACGUUCCCGGGUCUU
rnacentral:rRNA from 1 species